GGCAGGAUAGCUCAGCUGGUUAGAGCGACGGUUUCAUAAGCCGUAGGUCGAGAGUUCAAGUCUCUCUCCUGCUACCA
rnacentral:tRNA from 1 species